GCAGCACUCAGCGGAACCCUGCAGCUGUUUUCCAGGUCUUUCGGUUUCUGCUUGUCCAUAUAAAGGGCGCGUGUGCAUUACGUAGGUUUUUGCCGAGCUCAGUAACAACCCCGCGGUGCUUUUCUUGCAGCCGGGUGGCCCCCGCAGCGGGAAGCCCCGGUCUCGGGGUCCCGGCUUCAGGGAGGCCAGGCUGGGCCUGUGCUCGGUGGGGGAGGAGGAAGAAGAGAGCGGGCCGGGCACAACCUCUUCCCCUAUGGGACGCGCUGGCAUCCCUGCGGCGUCCCGGAGCUCCUCCCAGGACCAGGGCGCUUGCACUCCAGCGGCGGGACCGGCCCCCGGCUCCUGCCCUCCCGGCAGUCUCGGUGCGGAGCGGAGCGGACCGCAGGCGCGAUGCUGGCGCUGUGGCUGGGGCACUUGGGGCAGAAGCUGCUGCUGUGGGGCGCGCUGAGCGCCGUGUCGGUGGCGGGCGCCACCCUAAUCCUGAACCUGCUGCAGAUGCUGGCGAGCUACGCGCACAAAUGGCAGCAGAUGAGGGCCCUCCCCACGCUACCCGGCGCCUACCCGCUGGUGGGACACUCGCUGGUGAUGAAGCCCGACGGGAGAGAAUUUUUUCAGCAGCUCAUUUGUUACAGCGAAGAAAACCGACACCAACCACUACUGAAACUCUGGCUUGGGCCCAUACCAAUAGUAGCCAUUUAUAAUGCAGAAAAUGUGGAGGUCAUUUUAACUAGUUCAAGGCAAAUUGACAAAUCCUAUGUGUACAAGUUCCUGGAACCAUGGCUUGGCUUAGGACUUCUUACAAGUACUGGAAACAAAUGGCGAUCUAGGAGAAAAAUGUUAAUACCCACUUUCCAUUUUACAAUUCUGGAAGACUUCUUAGAUGUCAUGAAUGAACACGCAAAUAUAUUGGUUAAUAAGCUUGAAAAACAUGUUAACCAAGAAGCAUUUAACUGCUUUUUUUACAUCACUCUUUGUGCUCUAGAUAUAAUUUGUGAAACAGCUAUGGGGAAGAAUAUUGGUGCUCAAAGUAAUGAUGAUUCUGAGUAUGUCCGUGCAGUUUAUAGAAUGAGUGAUAUGAUACACCGAAGAAUGAAGAUGCCCUGGCUCUGGCUUGACUUUUUGUUUCUCAUGUUUAAAGAAGGACGGGAACACAAAAAGAGCCUAGAGAUCCUCCAUAAUUUUACCAAUAAUGUUAUCACUGAACGGACCAGUGAAAUGAAGAAAGACAAAGAACGCAGAAGUGCUGACAAGGACUCUUCCCCCUCCAAAAAUACGCGCAGGGCUUUUCUAGACUUGCUUUUAAAUGUGACCGAUGAUGAAGGGAACAAGCUAAGUCAUGAAGAUAUUCGAGAAGAAGUUGACACCUUUAUGUUUGAGGGCCAUGAUACGACAGCAGCGGCAAUAAACUGGUCCUUAUAUCUAUUGGGUUCUUACCCAGAAGUCCAGGAGCAAGUGCACAGUGAACUGGAGGAAGUGUUUGGGAAGUCUGAUCGUGCUGCUACCUUAGAAGACCUGAAGAAACUCAAAUACCUGGAAUGUGUCAUUAAGGAGAGCCUUCGCAUUUUCCCUUCUGUUCCUUUAUUUGCCCGUAAUCUUAAUGAAGAUUGUGAAGUUGGGGGUUACAAAAUUGUAAAAGGCUCUCAAGCCAUCAUCAUUCCCUAUGCACUGCAUAGAGAUCCAAGAUACUUCCCAGACCCUGAGGAGUUCCAGCCAGAGCGGUUCUUUCCCGAGAAUUUGCAAGGACGCCAUCCAUACGCAUAUGUGCCCUUCUCUGCUGGACCCAGAAACUGUAUAGGUCAAAAGUUUGCCAUAAUGGAAGAAAAGACCAUUCUUUCCUGCAUCCUGAGGCAUUUUUGGGUAGAAUCCAACCAGAAAAGAGAAGAACUUGGUCUAGCAGGAGAGUUGAUUCUUCGUCCAGCUAAUGGCAUCUGGAUCAAGUUGAAGAGGAGAAAUGCGGACGAAUCCUAACCAUAUAAUUGGACUGUGCCUUUGUCAUGUAAAAAGUCUUUUCUUGAAGGAAGCUGGGUUUACAAUUUCUUGAUCAGAGUUCAAUACUCUUAGUCCCUAGUCCUAUUUCUUUCUUGUCCCCGCUUACCUUGAGGUUAAGUCCACCAAAGAGUUUGAUUAUUUUCAUCAUUACCAUCGAUCUUAACGCUUGGCCUUGAUCCCAGAAGUAGAGUUAACUGCUGAUGGCACCACGUAAAUAAACAUCGGACAGGUUUCUCAACAGAGGGAUCCACAGACCAACUCAAUUUCAAUUGGCAGAUCCAAAGGAUAUAAUUUAAUUAAAGUUCCAGAAUUUUUUAAGACUGAUUUUGAGUUUUCCUGACUCUGAAGAAUUAACCAGAGGAGAAGUGGAAAUACCAGCACAUUUUGCUCAGCUGAUAGCAGAAAGUGAAAUCUCCCACAGAGGCCUGGGAAUCAGCCAAACCAUCAGCAUUACUGGAUCUCAGGCAUUUUAGUCUAGAAACCUUCCCGGGUGACGGACUAGUGAACCAACUGGUGCUCUACUCGUUGUCACAGACAACUCAAGAGUGUCGGUUUCUGAACCAAGUGACCCAUCUCACAGUGAAAGAGAUGCUGUGCACCAAAAAAAAAAAAAAAAAUCAAUUUUUACCCUGGAAUGUAUCUGGACGACCAAACUGUUUUUCUUUCCAGCAUCUAAUGAGAUGCUGGCAGGCACAUGACAAAUUUUUUAGUGUGUCUGGAAACCUCCCUCCAACCAUUUUUUUAAAGGAACAGCACCCUCUUUAUCUUUGGAACUAUCCCAUGAUAAAUACCUCCCCCCUUUAUCUUCCGUUUCUCACCUUUUUGCUUCCCCAACACCUGUACGGUCAAUAUGCAGUUCUAGCUGACGAUGCCGUGUUCUUAGGCAAUGUUGCUCUCUUGACUUAAGUUGAUCGACCCAAGCGGGGUCCACUCAGAGUUCUCCCCUUGGGAAUUGGUGGAGGUUUCAAGUUGUGAGACUGGGGAUCAAUUGGUAGUUGAGCCUCUGGAGCAGAGACUAGGAGAUGGGAAGAAGGUGAUGGGUAAAGAAGAAGCAGAGGAAAGAAAUGGAGAGAAUCCUGGAGGGUCCACAUCCCACGUUCCAGGUGGUGUGGAAGCUCACCUGUGUGCCUGCCCUGUGCACUGUUGAGUUGUUCACCUCUACCCUGGAGCCCAAGGGCCAGGCUAUUGUCAUUUUGCUUAGGCUGAUUGUCUUUAUUUCUAACCAAAAGCAACUUAGUGUUGGUCAGCUCAGCUGUGGGAUGAAGAAAGGUGCGCUAUUCUUUGGACAUGAUCUUAGGUCUUCAUCUUUCCUUUGUGCUGUUCAGUACUUCUCUAGGCUGAAUAACAUCAGCCAAUAACAGAUGUCUGCUAGUCAUUUAAAUGCAAUAGAAUUUUUAAAAAUUAAGAUGUAAUUGACAUGAUAUUAAUUUCAGGUAUAUCGCACCAUGAUUUGAUGUUAGUAGGUAUGUGAAAUGAUAAAUGCAAUAGCGUUUGAGGAAAUGCGGGGUUUCCAUCUUUUCUCGAUGGUAGGAAAAUUAAAAGCCUAGUGCUUUAUUUUAGAAUACACCUGGGAUUAGCCUAACACAAGAGUCUAGUUUCUUAGCUCCAUCCUGAUGUAUUCCCCAGAUGAAGUUCAUCAUUUUUUCUUGCUUUAAUUAAAGCAGAUUCACCCCAGUUUUCCUUCUAGCUAGCUGUAGUCCAAAUUCCAGGGACAAAUCUCUCAUCUGUAAUUACUACACAUGGACUCUGUAUUCUCUCCUUUGCUUCUUGGGCAGAAAUUCACCAAAUGGGGCAUUUCUUUGGGCCUUUUACACUGAAUUCAGUUUCUAAAUUUACUCCCAGCCUGUAGCUGUCCCCCCCCCCGCCCCCCCGCUCUCUUGAUCCCAUAAGACACCUUCUGGCACCUUCUUUUCCCUUCCCAUCACUCCCUGCC